UGGGGAAUUUUGGACAAUGGGGGCAACCCUGAUCCAGCCAUGCCGCGUGCGGGAAGAAGGCCUUCGGGUUGUAAACCGCUUUUGUCCGGGAAGGAAUGACCUCCCCUAAUACGGGGGGUUCCUGACGGUACCGGAAGAAUAAGCACCGGCUAACUACGUGCCAGCAGCCGCGGUAAUACGUAGGGUGCGAGCGUUAAUCGGAAUUACUGGGCGUAAAGCGUGCGCAGGCGGUUCGCUAAGUCUGAUGUGAAAGCCCCGGGCUCAACCUGGGAAUGGCAUUGGAAACUGGCGGGCUUGAGUGUGGCAGAGGGGGGUGGAAUUCCACGUGUAGCAGUGAAAUGCGUAGAGAUGUGGAGGAACACCGAUGGCGAAGGCAGCCCCCUGGGCUAACACUGACGCUCAGGCACGAAAGCGUGGGGAGCAAACAGGAUUAGAUACCCUGGUAGUCCACGCCCUAAACUAUGUCAACUGGGUGUUGGGGAAGCGAUUCCUCAGUACCGUAGCUAACGCGUGAAGUUGACCGCCUGGGGAGUACGGCCGCAAGGUUA
rnacentral:rRNA from 1 species